GCUUGCUUUGGCAGCCAUAUACUACAAUUGGAACACUACAGAGAAGACUGACAUGGCCCCUGCACAUUUAAUGAGUCAUGUCAAUACGGUUUGCUUCAGCUCUGU